UUGUUUCACUGAACCUGGCAUUCAACCACAUCGGGGAUGAAGGAGCCGGCUACAUUGCGGAUGUGCGUGUGGUGGGAUGCUUCCUGUGUGGGGGUGCCAGCUUGUCCUUGGCUUACAAAUCACUCUGUUCUCCAGGGCCUGAGGCUGAACCGCUCUCUCCUCUGGCUGUCCCUAGCGCACAACCACAUUCAAGACAAGGGAGCGCUGAAGCUGGCCGAGGUGGGUUGUCAGGCUGGGCGGGGUAGGGGAUCUGACGCAGGUGUCUGACGCAGGAAGCUGGCCUUGCCUCAGGUCCUGCGCCCCUUUGAGCUGACCCACAGGGAGGUGGUGGAGCGGCGCCGCCUGCUGCUGGUGAAAGGAACGCAGGAGCGGUCUCGAUCGGUGAGAAGCUGCCUGGUUCCAGGACAGCUGUGUUUGUUUUCCAGGUCGACUGCUUUUCUGCCCAGCACUCUUAAAUUCCCUGAAUCCUCUUGCCCCUCUGGAUUCUCCAGGCCUAUGGUCUGCCAAACCCAACUUGGGAUUCUAACUAUACAGCUACUCUGACAAUUAGAGUGUAGUUAAGAGCAAUGAUGCUGUUCAGACCACCUGGUUUGAAAUCCUCCCGGCCAUAUUAACAGUUUCUUUCUGAUCUUGAACUCAUUGCUUAAACCCAGAGCUGCACUUUCCCUAACUAAGCAGGGUAGCUGCUACUUUCUUCACAGAAUUGAGAUGAUUAAAUGA
rnacentral:lncRNA from 1 species